rnacentral:rRNA from 1 species
UGGGGAAUAUUGCACAAUGGGGGAAACCCUGAUGCAGCGACGCCGCGCGAACGAAGAAGGUAUUCGUAUCGUAAAGUUCUGUCCUAUGGGAAGAUAAUGACAGUACCAUAGAAGAAAGCUCCGGCUAAAUACGUGCCAGCAGCCGCGGUAAUACGUAUGGAGCGAGCGUUGUCCGGAAUUAUUGGGCGUAAAGGGUACGCAGGCGGUUUAAUAAGUCGAAUGUUAAAGAUCGGGGCUCAACCCCGCAAAGCAUUGGAAACUGAUAAACUUGAGUAGUGGAGAGGAAAGUGGAAUUCCUAGUGUAGUGGUGAAAUACGUAGAUAUUAGGAGGAAUACCAGUAGCGAAGGCGACUUUCUGGACACAAACUGACGCUGAGGUACGAAAGCGUGGGGAGCAAACAGG